rnacentral:tRNA from 1 species
UCCUGGUGCUCAAAUGGUAAAGAAUCUGCCUGCAUUGCAGGAAACCUGGGUUCGAUCCCUGGAUCAGGAA